rnacentral:rRNA from 1 species
UACGAAGGGGGGCUAGCGUUGCUCGGAAUUACUGGGCGUAAAGGGUGUGUAGGUGGCGCCGUAAGUCGGGUGUGAAAUUUCGGAGCUUAACUCCGAAACUGCAUUCGAUACUGCCGUGCUUGAGGACUGGAGAGGAGACUGGAAUUUACGGUGUAGCGGUGAAAUGCGUAGAUAUCGUAAGGAAGACCAGUGGCGAAGGCGGGUCUCUGGGACGGUACUGACGCUGAGACGCGAAAAGCGUGGGGAGCGAACAGG